rnacentral:rRNA from 1 species
UUGAACGCUGGCGGCAUGCUUUACACAUGCAAGUCGAACGGCAGCGCGGGCUUCGGCCUGGCGGCGAGUGGCGAACGGGUGAGUAAUACAUCGGAACGUGUCCAGUAGUGGGGGAUAGCUCGGCGAAAGCCGGAUUAAUACCGCAUACGACCUGAGGGUGAAAGCGGGGGAUCUUCGGACCUCGCGCUAUUGGAGCGGCCGAUGGCAGAUUAGCUAGUUGGUGGGGUAAAGGCCUACCAAGGCGACGAUCUGUAGCUGGUCUGAGAGGACGACCAGCCACACUGGGACUGAGACACGGCCCAGACUCCUACGGGAGGCAGCAGUGGGGAAUUUUGGACAAUGGGCGAAAGCCUGAUCCAGCAAUGCCGCGUGUGUGAUGAAGGCCUUCGGGUUGUAAAGCACUUUUGGCGGGAACGAAAAGGACUGUGCCAAUACCACGGUUCGAUGACGGUACCCGCAGAAUAAGCACCGGCUAACUACGUG